rnacentral:rRNA from 1 species
CUGCCUUCAGGAGGGGGAUAACGACCGGAAACGGUCGCUAAUACCCCAUACGCCUCCGGGUGAAAAGUAAUUCGCCUGAAGAUGAGCUCGCGUCAGAUUAGCUAGUUGGUGGGGUAAGAGCCUACCAAGGCGACGAUCUGUAGCUGGUCUGAGAGGAUGAUCAGCCACACUGGGACUGAGACACGGCCCAGACUCCUACGGGAGGCAGCAGUGGGGAAUUUUCCGCAAUGGGCGCAAGCCUGACGGAGCAAGACCGCGUGGGGGAUGACGGCCUAAUGGUUGUAAACCCCUUUUCUCUGGGAAGAAGACUGACGGUACCAGAGGAAUCAGCCUCGGCUAACUCCGUGCCAGCAGCCGCGGUAAUACGGAGGAGGCAAGCGUUAUCCGGAAUUAUUGGGCGUAAAGCGUCCGUAGGUGGUUAUUCAAGUCUGCUGUCAAAGCGUGGGGCUUAACUCCAUAGAGGCAGUGGAAACUGAGUGACUAGAGUGCGGUAGGGGUCGAGGGAAUUCCCAGUGUAGCGGUGAAAUGCGUAGAUAUUGGGAAGAACACCAGUGGCGAAAGCGCUCGACUGGGCCUGCACUGACACUGAGGGACGAAAGCUAGGGGAGCGAAAGGGAUUAGAUACCCCUGUAGUCCUAGCCGUAAACGAUGGAUACUAGGUGUUGCUCGUCAUCGACCCGAGCAGUGCCGUAGCCAACGCGUUAAGUAUCCCGUCCUGGGGAGUACGCUUGCAAGAGUGAAAUUCAAAGGAAUUGACGGGGGCCUGCACUAGCGGUGGAGUAUGUGGUUUAAUUCGAUGCAAUGUGAAGAACCUUACCAGGGCUUGACAUGUCAGGAACUUUGCCGAGAAGUGAGGGUGCCUUCGGGAGCCGGAACACAGGUGGUGCAUGGCUGUAGUCAGCUUGUGUCGUGAGAUGUUGGGUUAAGUCCCGCAACGAGCGCAACCCACGUUAUUAGUUGCCAGCAUUGAGUUGGGCACUCUAGGGAGACUGCCGGUGACAAACCGGAGGAAGGUGUGGAUGACGUCAAGUCAGCA